AACGUAGGACACAAGCGUUAUCCGGAGUUACUGGGCGUAAAGGGCGUGUAGGCGGAUCGGUAAGUCUACUCUGAAAGCUCCUGGCUAAACUGGGAGAGGCGAGUGGAGACUGUCGGUCUAGAGUGAGGAAGAGGAAAGUGGAAUUCCGCGUGUAGUGGUGAAAUGCGUAGAGAUGCGGAGGAACACCAGUGGCGAAAGCGGCUUUCUGGUCCUUAACUGACGCUGAGGCGCGAAAGCUAGGGGAGCAAACAGG
rnacentral:rRNA from 1 species